rnacentral:rRNA from 1 species
UUGUAGGGAAAUAAGGGCACAUGGAGGAUGCCUUGACACUAAAAGGCGAUGAAGGUCGUGGCGUGACUGCGAUAAGCCUCGGGGAGCCGUCUAGCGGGCUUUGAUCCGGGGAUGACCGAAUGAGGAAACUCUAUUGGAGUUAUGUCCAAUAAUCCCCCACUUUCUGUAAGAAUCAUUUUUGUACUUGGUGUUGCGGUUGAUGCUAAGUAUGAGUUUGGUUUUUAAAGAAAGUGGGGGAAGCACACCUGGGGAAGUGAAACAUCUCAGUACCCAGAGGAAAAUAAAUAGAAUUAGAUUCCCCCAGUAGCGGCGAGCGAACAGGGAAUAGCCUAAACCUCUUACUUCGGUAAGGGGUGUUGCAGGGGUGAUACAUCUUAAGACAUAACUUAGUCUGCCUUCGGCAGAUUGAGUUAUGUUCUAGGGAAGAGUUAAAAAUUCGAUGGUUAGCUGAACAAGCCUGGAAAGGCAGACCAAAGACGGUGAUAGUCCGGUAAGCGAAAACUAAUCGAACUCUUGUGUCAUUACCUAAGUACCCAUGGAUCAGACUGUCCGUGGUGAAUCCGGGCCUACUACGGUCCAAGGCUAAAUACUUUUAGUGAUCGAUAGUGAACCAGUACCGCGAGGGAAAGGUGAAAAGAACCCCGGAGAGGGGAGUGAAAUAGUUACUGAAACCAUGUGCCUACAAAGAGCCGGAGCUGGUAUAGCAAUAUACUGGUGACGGUGUGCCUAUUGAAGAAUGAGCCUGCGAGUUUAUAUGAAUGGUAGGGUAAGUCCGAAUAGGGCGCACCCAUAGGGAAACCGAGUGUUAAAAGCGCGUUCAUCGUUCAUAUAAGACCCGAAGCCAAGCGAGCUAACCAUGGCCAGGAUGAAGUCUCGAGAAAUCGAGAUGGAGGUCCGAACUGGUUGAUUGCGCAAUAUCAUCGGAUGAGCUGUGGUUCGAAGUGAAAAGCUUAUCGAGCUUGGUAAUAGCUGGUUCUCCCCGAAAUGCCUUUAGGGGCAGCGCCGGUUAGUAAUGAUAGGGGUAGAGCACUGGAUGGUUCGUCUUGCCCUUUUAGGGUAGACCUACCAAUCAAACUCCGAAUACUAUCAUGUAAUGACCGGUAGUGAGACCGUGGGGGCAAAGCUUCACGGUCGCGAGGAAAAGAGUCCAGAUCACAGCUUAAGGUCCCAAAAUCUAUGCUAAGUGUUAAGCAAGGAAGUAUUUUGCCUUAGACAGACAGGAGGUUGGCUUAGAAGCAGCCAUCCUUUAAAGAGUGCGUAACAGCUCACUGUUCGAUUCCAGUCUUCGGACUGGCGAGGCAAAGUGCGCCGAAAAUUUAUCGGGGCUAAGCAUAGUACCGAAAGCGUGGAUGGCGUGCAUAGCACGCAGUUUAUAAAGUUAAAAAGUUUUAAAGUUAAUAAAGUAAAGAAACUGAAAAGAAAUCUUACUUUAUAACUUUACGAACUUGAUGAACUUGUAACUUGCGCGCUAUGCGCGUCGUGGUAGGGGAGCACUUCUAGUGCAGAGAAGGUGGAUGGUGACGUCUGCUGGAGCGCUAGGAGGAGAGAAUGCAGGCAUGAGUAACCGCAAGGAGAGUGAAAACCUCUCCCGCCGAAAGUCUAAGGUUUCCUCCGCGAUGGCAAUCAUCGGAGGGUUAGGCGCGCCUAAGCGUAACCCAGCUUUUGAGCUGGGGAUCGCGAUGGACAGCCGGUUAAUAUUCCGGCCCUUCGUUUAAAUUUGCUAUGGGAUGACGGAGAACAUAAGAUUGAGCAUGUUAUUGGAUUCGUGUUGUCUACGCUUAGAAUAGUGUUCAGGUAAAUCCGGGCACUGCCUUCGAUGGCGAUAUUCGGGUGUGGAAGAAACUCUGCUUCGGCAGGGGAUUCAAUCGAAGAGUCUUCCAAGAAAAGUCUCUAUGAUGUUUAAACGAAAACGUACUAAAACCGACACAGGUAGACUGGUGUGAGUACACCAAGGCGAACAGGUGAUUAUUGGUUAAGGAACUCGGCAAAAAAGCGGCCGUAACUUAGGAAUAAGGCCUGCCCUGUCUUUAGGACAGGGCCGCAGCUAACGACCCCUGGCGACUGUUUAUCAAAAACACAACUCCGUGCUAACUCGUAAGAGGAUGUAUACGGGGUGACGCUUGUCCAGUGCUGGAACGUUAACGGUCAAAGUCUUAGGUCGCAAGAUUUAAGGCGGCGGCCCGAAGCGCCAGUGAACGACGGCAGUAACUAUAACUGUCUAAAAGUAGCGAAAUACCUUGUGGGGUAAGUUCCCACGCGCAUGAAUAGCGGAACGACUGGGGGACUGUCUCAGCCAAUAGCCCGGUGAAAAUGCAAUGUC